UCAUUGAUACGCAAAGUUGAAGCGCAAUGCCAACAAUUCCGUUCCCGCUAAUAAUAAUAAUAUUUGCUGUGCAAGCGAUUCGUUGUGAUUUGCAAUGCGAUGUGCCUGAGCAACUGGACAACACCUGCGGUACUUAUUGCCUUCAAGUUGUGAAACCACUUUUAAGCCAUGCGAAAGCUUCGCUUGAGAGGCCUGAUGACAAAAUUGAUCAAGUACUAACAAAAUUCGAGAGUAUGGUAAAAAGGUUGGACAAAGUCGAGAGUAUGGAAAAAAGGUUGGACAAAGUUGAUCAAAUACUGACAAAAAUCGAAAGUGUUGAAAAACGGUUGGACAAAGUUGAUCAAAUAG